rnacentral:rRNA from 1 species
GACGAACGCUGGCGGCGUGCUUAACACAUGCAAGUCGAACGGAAAGGCCCUGCUUGCAGGGUACUCGAGUGGCGAACGGGUGAGUAACACGUGGGUGAUCUGCCCUGCACUUCGGGAUAAGCCUGGGAAAAUGGGUCUAAUACCGGAUAGGAGCCAUUUUUAGUGUGAUGGUUGGAAAGUUGUUUCGGUGUAGGAUGAGCUCGUGGCCUAUUAGCUUGUUGGUGGGGUAAUGGCCUACCAAGGCGGCGACGGGUAGCCAGCCUGAGAGGGUGGACCGCCACAUUGGGACUGAGUUACUGCCCAGACUCCUACGGGGGGCAGCAGUGGGGAAUAUUGCACAAUGGGCGGCAGCCUGAUGCAGCGACGCCCCGUGGGGGAUUACGGCCUUCGUGUUGUAAACGCCUUUCGCUAGGGGCGAAGCGUUUUGUGACGGUACCUUGAUAAGAAGCACCGGCUAACUACGUG